rnacentral:lncRNA from 1 species
GCUUUUCUCAUUAAUUGUCUCUUUCACUUAAUGCUGUCAAUGAUAACAUCAUGAAACUCCUUCUUUGUAAUUUCUAAAAUUUCUUUCAAUGUAAAUUCUACCUUAGCAUUUAAUAUACGUUCUUCCAACACCCCUUUUAAAUUUGUUGCCGCUUCAAUAUCAAGAAGAAGCUUAUAAGCAAUUGAUUUAUCCUUAUCUUUUGUCUCCUUUGUUUUUUCUUCCAAUGAUGUCGAAAUAUUCUUUAUAGGUAAUUCUUGUAAAGCCGCCUCAUGAGCCUUGUCUCCUCGAGUUUGUCUCUUAGAAGAAUUUCCUUCUCUUGUAUCAUCAAAAUUUUCUCAUCUCUCUUCUUCCAUCAAAGCUUCAUGUUGGUUCUUAGGAAUAUAGGCAUGAACUGAAAGAGUCUCAAUAAGAUCUUUUCAACCUGUUGCACCUCGUAUUGUAGCUGCAGUCUUCAAUAAUGCUUUCCGAGGCAUUUUUCUUUUUUGCAUUGUAGAAAUAGUAGAAGCCCAAAAUUCACUAGUUUCUAUACUUCUAUUAAAGUCAUCAUCUGCUCUAGUACCAUAACUUGCACUCUCUCGUAAUGCUUUUU